GUUAGGAGGGGAUAGAAUUAAGCGAUUCUACACGUUUUGUGUAUUUCUGCAAAAAUGCCGAGGGCUGGUAAUUGCCUGACUCUUGGCUUAGCUCUUUGGCCUUCAGCAAGUGCAGCUGGCUCUGCAGCAGCCUGGGUUCUAAAGGGGGAUAUGGAGUAAGGAGAAAAAAACAAUAGCCUUUAUCUUUUCCCUCUGGAACAACAGACAGACAGACAGACACAGACACACACACACACACACACACACACACACACACACACACACACACACACAAACCCCAAGUGUCUCUGUGUGUAGAAAUAUGGAUCAAUAAUAAAUGUACUGUUUUUUUUUUUUUUUAAAAAAAAAACUGUGUUAGUUCUGUCCAAAAUCUGCCUGUUAUUUGAAGGGGACAGACACACUUCGGCAACAAGAGAUAAAUUGUGAAAAUCUGAUUGUUACAGCCAAGGGAAGCAGAGUUCGUUGUCACGUGGUCUCAGUGCCUUCCCACAUCCUCACGACUCUCUCCAGACUGCUGUCAUCUCUCUCCAGUAAGCCCUGAGUGAUCAUCUCUACACCUCUGCCUUCGCUUGGUAUUUUAUCAGUAGAUAGUUAGACAAUCCUUCUGUAGUUUGGGGAAGAUACAGCUGAUAAGCUCUUGGGAGGUUAUGAUAUGAGACAAAUUAUUUAUUCUUCUUGUACUAGUUCUUGGGCGUUACUCCUCCUUUACCUGUAGAGGUUCAUUAAUCCUGGCUUUUAAAAAGUUCUGUUUCAAAGUAGAGAUGACAUGUAAACGUUAUAAUUUCUUUCCAAAACAUUUUAAAUACUGGAAUUGAACUUCCUCAAACACUGCAGACUAAAACCUUGAUGUAAGCUAUAGUACGGCUUCUAUUCACUUGGCUACUUCAUAAGAAAAGAACCAGUUUAAUUCUUAUCUAGGAGACAGCAAUGACAUAACUGUAGUACCACUUCUAUUCACUUGGUUACUUCAUAAGAAAAGAACUAGUUUAAUUCUUACCUGGGAGGCCACAAUGACGUAACUGCCAGGGGGAAGAGAUCUGGUUUCUUUAGAUAAUCCAUCAGUGACGAUAGAAGCCCACUGCUUGACUCAACAGCUUAGAGUAACAAAAAUGAUUGUUGUAUGUCUGGCACACAGUAAGCCCUUUCUUGGCAGAUGAUAAAAACGAUUAAAAAAUAUUAUGGCCUGCUGGCAAGAUGGCCCAGCAGGUUAAGAUGCUUGCGGCCAGGUCUGACCGCUUGAGUUUGACCUCCAGAGCCUGCAAAGUAGAAGGAAAAAACUGAUUCCCACAAAUUGUCCUCUGACCACACACAGCAGUGGCAUGAGAACACACUACUUCCACACCCAAGCGCGCACACACACAUAUACAUAUACGUGCACAGAUACACACCACACAUAUAUACACAUAGACACACACACACAUACACACACUACAUAAAUAAAUGUAAUACAAAUAUUAUGACCUUACAGACAUGACCUAUUUGAUGAAGGGACCUAUUCAAGUCAAAUAAAUAUCUUUGGUGCACCUGCAAUGUACUAAAUAUGAUAUUUUUUAAUACAAUGACUUAAAUGUUCUCUCCUUACUCAGGAAGAUUGUAAUCUAUGGUCAUGAUGGUGGCUGCCAAACCAAUGACUUUUUUAAAGAAGAUAUUUAAUUUCUGAAGAACAUUUUACAUUUACAAAUGAAGGUCUGGAGGACUUAGUUUAUUUUUUAGGUACAAUUAGGAAAGCCUGCUUAGAGCUAAUGAAACCUAAGUUGGGAUUUCUAGAAGGAUCAGUUGAAGAAUGUUAUUGUCUGUGAGUAUGGUAACCGGGUAAGAGGGGAAGAGACUGCUGACACAGAGAUGUGGCUAAAGAGACAGGGCAGUCGUGGGUCAUUGAGAAUCUAAUACGCCAUGCUCAGACACUUUGACUUUGUUCUGUAAGUACUGGUGGAAGACUGACGAUCAGCAGGAGAGUGGAAUGGUGGGUGGUGCUGGCUCAGGCAGACAAGACCACAGCAGACUCAGAGCAAAAGAGAUACUUCCAUGUUUUGGUUUUUUUAAAUGACCCAGAGAGGGAAAACAAAAUAAUGAAUUUGAUACUGGUUCUUCAAUCCGUCAGGAUAGAAUGGUCAAUAUGUUAGUAAGAAGUAAUUCCAAAGUUUCACAAGCUUAACGUAGAGGUGGGGUGGGGCUAAAUUUCUCAGUCAUCCUGCAUACACCCUGUUUUGUCUACUGGAAGACUGGCUUUUAAGCUUCUUGGCUCUUGGAGGCAAGUUGAUGAAGCUUGGUAUCUUCAGACUGUUGCCAGCUAUUUUAACAGGGAGACACAAGUAAAAUUGUGUGCCGAAAGUGAUACACAUUGCCCCCAAAACACUUCACUCUCCUAAAGUAGUGAGAUGACACAUUGAUCUCACAGGAGAAGGGAAAUACAUUUUCACCAUAUUCCUUCAAAGAGGAGAAACAGAAAUAACCAGCAUAUAGAGACCAUCUCUCCCUGAUGCUGCUGAAUAGAUAUGCAGUUCACUGUCCUUCCUGUGUGCAAAACACAGUUACACUAAGGACAAGAACUCAGGUGGAUCUGGUGGCUUCUGAGAAGUCCUGACGAGUAUAGAUGAAGAUACUCAGGGAGCAACCAGAGAUUUGAGUACUGGGGUACAGCAGAGAACUUAAGACUAAAGACUUAAAUGUGGGAACAUCAACAAAGGGUGAUCAACAAUAGGAAUUGAUUGGUUUUCUGAGGAAAUGUUGUAGCUUGUGAGAGCAAACCAAGGCCAGAGCUCUGGAGGUGACAUUUCUUAAAUGAGCCAGCAUACAACAAAGCACUGAAGAGGACUGGGGGCAAUAAAAGUAAGUCAAGGUUCCGGUGACAUUGGAAGAUGAAGUAAAAGACUUCCAACAAGGAAGAAAAAAGCCAACAAAAUGAUGACAGGUGUUGGUUUGAUUGGAGUCUAUAUGGCUUUAGAAAACAUUGCUUGAAUGCAUAGGGGCAGAAGUUUUUUCCUGCAAGUUGGUUUAUAGAUUCAGGCUAAAGAAAUGAAGAGUGUUGAGGGCACCCUCUUGAGAAGAAAAGAGUGAAGGGGAAUGCAGAUCAGGAGAGGAGGAUCCUCAAGAGAGAAGGUACUGAGUGAUGGCUAUGGUCCUCAAGGAGGAAGGAAGAAAUGAGGUCAGUAACUCUGGGAGAAGAACCUCAUGAGGUUGGAAAUUAGUGUUUGGUAGCCAUCAAAUACCUGAGAAGUUGACAAUCAAGGUGAAUCAAUCUGGCAUGGAGAAGGAGGGAGAGAGUGUGGUAAUGGCAUAUGAUAUAGAAAUGUAGGCUAUAGAUAUGAUAGGAUGAAAGGGUAGAUUAUUAAAUCUGCUUUUAAAGAGCAGCAACUUGUUUAAAAUGUUUUAUAUUGCUAUGGAUUUUAGUUUAUUGGUACAAAUUUAAAGCUAAUUAUGUUAUAUUGUAUGUAUAUUUCUACUCUUGUUUUAAGUAUUUUGUUUGUGCAGCUCAUUUGAAAUUGUAAUGUAUAGUUGAGAAAUACAGAUUAAUAAUUAGUCAUCUAUGAUAAUCAAACUUAUAGUCAUGUUAGUUAAGUUUUCUAGGUAUACAUAGAUAUAUUUCAAUUAGGUAGUCAAUCUUCAAACACUUCAAAGACCUACAGAAUAUGGCAUUUAAAAUGUUUUAAAAACUUAGGCUUUCCUGGACAAUGAGACAUGUUUGCUCCUGGCAAUACUGAUUUACUUAAAAAAAAAAAAAGAUGGGCGUCAAAGAUACUCCAUAUGGAGUUUAUCUUCUUCUUGGCAAAAUAGCCAUUUUGGCAAGAAACUGUUAUUGCCUGGACUGCUUGACAAAAUGUUGUAUCAACUGGACAUGCAGGACCCCUGGGAAAAUGACCACUAAAUUUGUCAAAACAAGGCAAGAUGGUCCUUCAGGUUCCUGCUUCGCAGAGGAGACUGCAAAAUAUUCUACAGGACACAGAGAGAAGCAACUGAGAGAUUCUAGGCCUAUAGGUGAAGAAUGAUGCCCCAAUGUUGCAGAGAAACUUUGAGUGACUGUCCAGGUAGUCAGCCUUCUCCAUCAUUCUAGAUUUUUGGAAGUUGCUUACAAUGCAUUUCCUGUUUACUUAGGUAAUAUUAUAUCCUUCUGGGAUCUUUGAUGUAGUUGAAGACUAAAUAAUUACAGUUAUAAUUUUCCUUUGUUAUGAUACAAGAUAAAUUAGAUAUGAAACUUUAGACUCACAAAUAAAGGAUAGAUGAUAAAAUACUUUCCUUAAUUUUACCAAAUGUAAAUGGACUAGAUAUUGUAAUUGUAAUUCCUGCUUGAUAACUGUUCUAUUAUAUGUAAUUUUACUAUGUUAAAAUUAAAACCUUCUUUUUGAUUAGAUAGAAAAGGGGAAGUGCUGUGGGAUGUUGUUCUGUGUGCUGUAAAUAUGUGUUGCUCUGAUUGGUUGAUAAAUAAAACACUGAUUGGCCAGUAUCCGGGCAGGAAGUAUAGGUGGGGUGAGCAGAAGAAGAGAAUGCUGGGAAGAGGAAGAGCAGAAUCAGGAGUUGCCAGCCAGACACAGAGGAAACAAGAUGACAAGGCAGAACUGAGAAAAGGUACCAUGCCACAUGGCUAAACAUAAAUAAAAAUUAUGGAUUAAUUUAAGUGUAAGAGCUAGUCAGUAAUAAGCCUGAGCAAAUGGCUGAGCAGUUAUAAAUAAUAUUAAGCCUCUGUAUGAUUACUUUAUAAGCAGCUGAGGGACCAUGUGGCUGGGUGGGACACAGAAAAACUUCCAACUACAGGCAUACAUAAACCUGAGAACAGUACAUCCCCAGAAGGAAAAGAGAGAGCCAGUUAAUAAAAAUAUAGCAAGAGUAAUGCUUGGCCAAGUUCAUGUUAAACUGAGAAGUAAAAAUACAGAUUACUAGAACUACAAAAAUCCUAAAUCUUUCAUUUCUACACUGAUUUUUAUUAAACCAUCUAUUUGCAUGGGGCUUGAAGCUAAGUCCCCCAUGGGGAAAUACUAUUUUUCUUUUUAUUUAUUGUUUUUUCCUUUUUUUCUGCACAGCUUAUCAUUUUCAUCAAAGAUAGGCUCACAUAGAUAAAUCACAAAGGGGAGUGUUAAUUUUAAGCUGUUCCAGAGGACAAGAACACUUGUAUACUUUUCAGGAACAUCAUAUUUAUUAUUUUAGAAUGGAUGCACAUACGCCUUAAGCUUGAUUCAGCAUGAGGAUAUAAAGUCUUAUCAAAUAGCUAGACAAAGGGCUGCUGAGACGCGCAGGUAAGGGCUGAGUUCAGUGACUUCAAUCCCUGAGACUCCCAUGGUGGAAGUAGAGAACCCACUUCUGCAACUAAGUUAUCCUCUGACCUCCACCAACGUGCACAUAUAUGCAUGCAUGUACAUGCACACACACACACACAUACACAAUUAAUUAAAAUGUAAUAAAGUUUCAAAUAUAUUAUAAAAAUGCAGAUUUAUAACCAUCUGUAGUCUAACAUGCACAUGUUACAGUUUAGGUUUUAGAAUUUCAUGUUGAGCACCACCAGUACAUUUGCAGUACAUGCUCUCCAUAACAUAUUAAACAUGCUCUUCCAAACACACCCACAAGCUAGAGACCAACCUCCAUAAUCUACUAGGACUGAAAUAUUAAAAACUUCAUUUAUUCAAGCGUUUAUUAAACACCCACUAUGGAGGUGUUUCUUAACUUUCUUAACUGUACAGUCCUCAUAAAACAUUGAAGAAGAAAUGAGUACAGACUGCCCUCUGAUGACUGGUGCAGCUGGCAUCAUCUGGAACAUUGAAGAAGAGGACUAACAUGAGAAAGAAAGGGAGUUUAUCCCAGAGGUGAAGUGCUAGGGGAUGGUCCCCAAGGAGGGAGCCAGGAAGACAGCAAGACCAUACUUUGAACAGGAUGAGCAUCAAUAGUGUCAGGAAUACACAAACAAAAAGCUAAAAUCAGAAUUUGAACUAAUCAUCCACUUUGAAUGUGGCCUGCUGUGGCACACUUCCCCAGGGACAGGAUGACCUCACAGGGUAUGACUUGAUCCCCACUUACAAAUGGAGCUGCAAACAGAUGUGUGAAGGAAUGGGGCAUUGCUGUGACUCACUGCCACUUCGCCACCAUGUGCCUCCAGAUGAUGCCAGCUUCACCAGUCAUCAGAGGGCAGUUUGUACUCAUCUCUUCUUCAUGGUCUUGUGAAGACUGUACAGAUUUGCCAGUUUUUAAAAAUAUGCGACUUGGAAGCUGGUGAGAUAGCUCAGCGGUUAGAACACUUGCUGCUUUUCCAGAGGACCUGAGUUCCAGUUCCCAGCACCCACAACUAGUGGCUCACAAUCACCUAUAUCUCCAGCUCCAGAGAAACUGAUGCCCUUUUCUGACCUCUUCAGCCACCCAAGUGUACACACAAAUAUACACAAGAAUAAAUGCUAAAAUAACCCAUUUUUAAAAGAUCAGGGUUUACACUUGUAUCUUUGUUAGAGAACAUGGUUGUGAUACCUAUGAUGACAUUGGUAUUUGUUUCAAAGUAUAGCCUGUGUCUGUGCUGGUCUCCAGGCAGGUCUCGGUUCCUUUACUGCAGCAAUUGUCUGGAAGCUCUACAUGAAUUGCCUAGUCCGUCGAGGUAAUAGAGCAAGUCCUUCAAAUCUGAGGGUAUUGGGUCUGCAGCAAUGACCUUGGUCGGACCUGAGUGGCUCAUUAUUCACUGUCAAGUCCUGUCAGUCAAGUCUCAGUUAUUGCUGGCUUGCCAGCCUAGGACCUCACACCAAGGCUAUCCUCAUGGAAGAAACAUUUAUAUCAGUCUGGAGGUUGCAUUAAAGAGCAAACAGUAAGCCCAAGUGAUGUGAAUUUCUUGUUAGGUUGUGAGGGGGUUAGACACAUGAACAUGCUCAAAACUCACUUGUCCAACCUAAACAUCCCUCUUUUUCCCCACUUUAUAGAUGAAAUGAAACUUUGGUGAUCAGCAUUUUAUGGCAAUAACAUUUCAUUUGAGAUAAUUGAUUUGAUGAAGAUCUUUUUCAGUUGGAGGACCAUAUUCUUCAUCUAAGAUGGCAUUUAGAAACUUGGAGCGCUGGAGAAUGUUCCCAGGUUUAAGAUGAAGAUAACAGUUGUGACAAAAAAAAACUGACUUAGAACUGAGCAGAGCUAGUGUGUGUUGUUUUAAAGCAAGAAGGUGCUCACAGAUGGCUCAGAGAGAGACUUAGCAAGUCUGUGCUAAUCACACUCAUGCAUGGGAAUGCCUCCACUGAA